UAUGUUUAGCUGCCAAUAUUGGAAGAGGUUUUGAGCAAAACUGAGACGGAAACAGAGAUGAAGAUCUGGUAAACCUGAAAGCAAGGAGGAGUCUACAAGUUGUUAGUGGUCUGGCUGAAUUCCAAUGGAGCCCACAAAGUGGCCUUUUACUUAUGCAGAGUAGGUAAGUGAGGAGGAGUAACAUCCACUUAAAAGAGCCUGGAUAGAUAUUUCAGGGUUCC
rnacentral:lncRNA from 10 species